rnacentral:rRNA from 1 species
GACGAACGCUGGCGGCGUGCUUAACACAUGCAAGUCGAACGGUAAGGCCCUUCGGGGUACACGAGUGGCGAACGGGUGAGUAACACGUGGGUGAUCUGCCUGCACUUCGGGAUAAGCCUGGGAAACUGGGUCUAAUACCGGAUAGGACCAUUGCCUGCAUGGGUGGUGGUGGAAAGCUUUUGCGGUGUGGGAUGGGCCCGCGGCCUAUCAGCUUGUUGGUGGGGUGAUGGCCUACCAAGGCGACGACGGGUAGCCGGCCUGAGAGGGUGACCGGCCACACUGGGACUGAGAUACGGCCCAGACUCCUACGGGAGGCAGCAGUGGGGAAGAUUGCACAAUGGGCGCAAGCCUGAUGCAGCGACGCCGCGUGAGGGAUGACGGCCUUCGGGUUGUAAACCUCUUUCAGCACCGACGAAGCGCAAGUGACGGUAGGUGCAGAAGAAGGACCGGCCAACUACGUGCCAGCAGCCGCCGUAA